rnacentral:rRNA from 1 species
GGGAAACAGGUUAAUAUUCCUGUACUCGGUGUUACUGCGAAGGGGGGACGGAGAAGGCUAUGUUGGCCGGGCGACGGUUGUCCCGGUUUAAGCAUGUAGGCGGAUGUUCCAGGUAAAUCCGGAACGUUAUCAACGCUGAGGUGUGAUGACGAGGCACUACGGUGCUGAAGUGACAAAUGCCCUGCUUCCAGGAAAAGCCUCUAAGCAUCAGGUAACAUCAAAUCGUACCCCAAACCGACACAGGUGGUCAGGUAGAGAAUACCAAGGCGCUUGAGAGAACUCGGGUGAAGGAACUAGGCAAAAUGGUGCCGUAACUUCGGGAGAAGGCACGCUGAUGGUAGGUGAAGUGACUUGCUCAUGGAGCUGAAAUCAGUCGAAGAUACCAGCUGGCUGCAACUGUUUAUUAAAAACACAGCACUGUGCAAACACGAAAGUGGACGUAUACGGUGUGACGCCUGCCCGGUGCCGGAAGGUUAAUUGAUGGG